CCUACGGGCGGCAGCAGUGGGGAAUAUUGGACAAUGGGGGGAACCCUGAUCCAGCCAUGCCGCGUGUGUGAAGAAGGACCUCGGGUUGUAAAGCACUUUCAGUGAGGAAGAACGCCUGGUGGUUAAUACCCAUCAGGAAAGACAUCACUCACAGAAGAAGCACCGGCUAACUCCGUGCCAGCAGCCGCGGUAAUACGGAGGGUGCGAGCGUUAAUCGGAAUUACUGGGCGUAAAGCGCGCGUAGGUGGCUUGAUAAGCCGGUUGUGAAAGCCCCGGGCUCAACCUGGGAACGGCAUCCGGAACUGUCAAGCUAGAGUGCAGGAGAGGAAGGUAGAAUUCCCGGUGUAGCGGUGAAAUGCGUAGAGAUCGGGAGGAAUACCAGUGGCGAAGGCGGCCUUCUGGACUGACACUGACACUGAGGUGCGAAAGCGUGGGUAGCAAACAGGAUUAGAUACCCUGGUAGUC
rnacentral:rRNA from 1 species